AUGGUCGCCGACUGUCUGCUACUUGGAAGGAGUUCAUGGAGUUGCUUAACGCUCCAGAUGAAGGGCUCAACACGCCAGUUGGAGUUCGCCCUCAUGCCAACUCUGAGUCUGCCAACAAGAACAAGCUCCAUGCCAUUCCUUGUUCCGAAGACUCUUCCCAACAAGAAGACUGCGUGGGUGCUUAAUCCCUUCCUUGACAUCAUGCAUCGGCUCUUCCGGAACACCCUCUUCCCACGCAUUGGGGACAUGGGCCAGGUACAUGCUUACCUCGUUGAGAUGAUGCUUAUCUGCAAGGAGGCCCGUCAGGCUCAGACUCAACCACUUGAUGUCUCACAUAUCAUGUGGUGUGAGCUUCAGUUCACCGUGUUCAACCGUAAGGUACCCAUCUAUGGGCCUUACCUGUUCCACUUGAUCUCCAAGACAUGGGAGAGGUUGUUUCCCAAUGAUGAGUUUGAAGCUCCAGGGUGGAUUCGUCAUGAGCCCAUCAGGCUCCGCUUCAAGCCACAAUGGGCUAACACCACCACUUCCGUUGAGGCUGCCAGGAGGGUUGUGGAUGAGGAGGAAAUUGGGGGGGAAGAAGUUGCUGCUGACCGUUCUGCAUUCACUACUCCCUCUGCCGAGCCAUCUUGGGCAAAGAAGCUGCAGAUCAAGAUGAAGAGGCUUUUCUGCAUGCAGGUCCAGAGUCAGUACAAGGCUCAUGUUGCUCAAAAGGAGGCCCGUCGUCGCGACAACAGGAUUUUGAGGGCAUGCGGCGAGGAUGUGGCCAGCGGCUCUGAGAGGCACAUCACCCCCGAGGCUGCCUGGAUGGCUAAGCAGGGCUACAAGUGGACUGAUUCUGAGGAAGAGUACGUUCCUGCUAUGGAGUCUGACGAUGAGGAGUCCUUUUGUGCCUGA
rnacentral:rRNA from 1 species